AAAAAGAACCUGAAACCGUGUACGUACAAGCAGUGGGAGCACCUUCGGGUGUGACUGCGUACCUUUUGUAUAAUGGGUCAGCGACUUAUAUUCUGUAGCAAGGUUAACCGUAUAGGGGAGCCGCAGGGAAACCGAGUCUUAACUGGGCGUUAAGUUGCAGGGUAUAGACCCGAAACCGGUGAUCUAGCCAUGGGCAGGUUGAAGGUUGGGUAACACUAACUGGAGGACCGAACCGAC
rnacentral:rRNA from 1 species